rnacentral:rRNA from 1 species
AUUGAACGCUGGCGGCAGGCCUAACACAUGCAAGUCGAACGAGUGGCGGACGGGUGAGUAAUGUAUGGGAACCUGCCGGAUGGAGGGGGAUAACUACUGGAAACGGUAGCUCAUACCGCAUACCAUCAGAUUGGCCCAUAUGUGAUUAGCUGGUUGGUGGGGUAACGGCUCACCAAGGCGACGAUCCCUAGCGGGUCUGAGAGGAUGCACAGCCAAAAGGGAACUGAGACACGGUCCAGACUCCUACGGGAGGCAGCAGUGGGGAAUAUUGUACAAGGGGCGCAAGCCUGAUGCAGCCAUGCCGCGUGUAUGAAGAAGGCCUUCGGGUUGUAAAGUACUUUAAGCGGGGAGGCGUUACCCGAAGAAGAAGCACCGGCUAACUCCGUGCCAGCAGCCGCGGUAAUUC